UGGGAGACUUGGGGGGGCGGGGGAAUCUGGUGUUGGACCUGGUUGAGCGCCCAAGCAGGCGUUGGAUAAGCCUGCACUGGACAGCAUGGCUGUCUGCAGACCAGCGGCACCCCCAGAAUGCAGGAAGGAUAAACGGAGAGCUUUUCGGUUUUCACCCGCGUAAUUCUGUCCUCCCAGGUCCCUUCGGCUGCCCCGCUGAAUACACAAGCGCAGCGCUGGCCACCGUAGCAACCAAGCUUCUCCACCAGCGGCGCUCAAAGCUGCCUGCGCGGCGAAGUCAAGGCCACUCCCUGCCGCCGACCGUCCGUGUCGACUAGGCUCGAAGCAGGCGGUGACCUCGCCUCCAACUGCGGCAGUUCGUUUGAAUUCUGGCGCCACUCCCACGCCACGUCGAGCUGAGCCACCCCGCCAGACUCGGAAGAGACCGGUGGCGGCGAGCCAGCGGGAGCGCGCGCAGCAACGGAGAUGCACGCGGCGGCGGGCGGGCGGCGCGCACCACGCCCCGGAAUGGCCUGUAAAAAAAAAAAGAGGUCCAAGGCGCGCGCUCCCACGCGUUGCUUCAUGAAAAGCCACGCCCCCACGUACUCUCGCGUCCAAUCAGUGACAGAGGGAGGGGCAGCCUCGAUCUCGCACAAAGGAGACUAUAAAAGGAGCUGCGGUGAACCGGGCUCGUUCUUUUACGACGGAGCCUAAGAUAUUCUUUGUCUUGUCGGUGAGUGAGUUACAGUCGGAUGACCAAGUGAAAUAUAGGGGUGCAACGAGGAUUUGGAGGCUUCUGAGACUUGAACUUAGGGUACUGGUGUAAACUUCCUCGGAGAAGUGCGCAGCAGCUAAUGAUAUUUCGGGAUUGGAGUCUGGGCCCCAGUGAGAUUCGUACUAAGCGGCCUGACUGAAGGCCGCAUGCGUUCUAGUUCCUGAGUCCCCGCGUGGGUAGGUUUUUACAGCAGGGUUUGCAGCCUUUUGUGCUGUUCCGAAGGUACUAGAGUCACCGAAAGAGACAUCCUAUUAUAUGCACGUUCACAAGGACAAUGGCGCCAUUGUUCUUCGCGUCUUCAAAGCAGCUACAAGAAGAAACCAAGAUGGAGGGGAGCCCAAAGCAUCUGAGAGAAUUGAUAAAUGAAAGAAACAUGCUUAAAACAUGACCGUUUUAAAGGUGAAUGCUGACCAGUGAGAUGCCAGCCUGCGUGUGAAGAUCCUACAGCAGAAGUGCAUGGCCAGUGACACAAGAACUUGCGAGAGAUGCCAGUCCGCCUGUGAAGAUCCUGCAGCAGGAGUGCAUAGCCAGUGACACAAGACGUGCGAAUGAAAACUAGAUGUGACCAUCCAGAAAAAGCAUAGACAAAAAAAUGCAGUCUUAGUACUGGGAUGUUUGAGAUGGGGUCUAUCUACAUGUCUCUAGCUGUCCCUAUCAGGACAGCAUCUGGUGUGGCCUGCAGAGUUGAUUCCUGUACUUUUUUUUUUUUGUGGGCUGUAUGUAAAUGGAUUGUUUUGACAAUCCAUUCGACAGUGUUCUCUUCUGUGAAGGUCAUAGGUGAGCUGAUUGACAGACACAGCUGUACAGACUGAAUGCAAUCCUGACUAUAAAGCUGCAGUUCAUCAUUAUGAGCUAUUUCCUUAUUCUGGCAGUGAUUGAAAUAAAAUGGGGAGUAUUGAAAUAAAAAACAUUCAAUUGCAAAUA
rnacentral:lncRNA from 7 species